CAAGCGUUAUUCGGAAUUAUUGGGCGUAAAGCGUCCGCAGGUGGUAAUUCAAGUCUGCGGUCAAAGACCGAAGCUCAACUUCGGGAAGGCAGUGGAAACUGAAUAACUAGAGUACGGUAGGGGUUGAGGGAAUUUCCAGUGUAGCGGUGAAGUGCGUAGAGAUUGGAAAGAACACCAGUGGCGAAGGCGCUCAACUGGACCGUAACUGACACUCAGGGACGAAAGCUAGGGUAGCGAAAGGGAUUAGAUACCCCUGUAGUCCUAGCUGUAAACGAUGGAUACUAGGCGUUGCUUGUAUCGACCCGAGCAGUGCCGUAGCCAACGCGUUAAGUAUCCCGCCUGGGGAGUACGCACGCAAGUGUGAAACUCAAAGGAAUUGACGGGGGCCCGCACAAGCGGUGGAGUAUGUGGUUUAAUUCGAUGCAACGCGAAGAACCUUACCAGGGCUUGACAUCCCGCGAACUUCUCGGAAAGGAGAAGGUGCCUUAGGGAGCGCGGAGACAGGUGGUGCAUGGCUGUCGUCAGCUCGUGUCGUGAGAUGUUGGGUUAAGUCCCGCAACGAGCGCAACCCUCGUCCUUAGUUGCCAGCAUUAAGUUGGGCACUUUAGGGAGACUGCCGGUGACAAACCGGAGGAAGGCGGGGAUGACGUCAAGUCAGCAUGCCCCUUACGCCCUGGGCGACACACGUACUACAAUGGUCAGGACAAAGGGCAGCCAACUCGCAAGAGUGAGCGAAUCUCAUCAAACCUGGCCUCAGUUCAGAUUGCAGGCUGCAACUCGCCUGCAUGAAGGAGGAA
rnacentral:rRNA from 1 species